GAGCGAUGAACCUCGCUUGUGGGGGGAUUAGUGGCGGACGGGUGAGUAACACGUGAGUAACCUGCCCUUAACUCUGGGAUAAGCCUGGGAAACUGGGUCUAAUACCGGAUAUGACUCCUCAUCGCAUGGUGGGGGGUGGAAAGCUUUUUGUGGUUUUGGAUGGACUCGCGGCCUAUCAGCUUGUUGGUGAGGUAAUGGCUUACCAAGGCGACGACGGGUAGCCGGCCUGAGAGGGUGACCGGCCACACUGGGACUGAGACACGGCCCAGACUCCUACGGGAGGCAGCAGUGGGGAAUAUUGCACAAUGGGCGCAAGCCUGAUGCAGCGACGCCGCGUGAGGGAUGACGGCCUUCGGGUUGUAAACCUCUUUCAGUAGGGAAGAAGCGAAAGUGACGGUACCUGCAGAAGAAGCGCCGGCUAACUACGUGCCAGCAGCCGCGGUAAUACGUAGGGCGCAAGCGUUAUCCGGAAUUAUUGGGCGUAAAGAGCUCGUAGGCGGUUUGUCGCGUCUGCCGUGAAAGUCCGGGGCUCAACUCCGGAUCUGCGGUGGGUACGGGCAGACUAGAGUGAUGUAGGGGAGACUGGAAUUCCUGGUGUAGCGGUGAAAUGCGCAGAUAUCAGGAGGAACACCGAUGGCGAAGGCAGGUCUCUGGGCAUUAACUGACGCUGAGGAGCGAAAGCAUGGGGAGCG
rnacentral:rRNA from 1 species